rnacentral:rRNA from 1 species
GUAGGUGGCAAGCGUUGUCCGGAAUUAUUGGGCGUAAAGCGCGCGCAGGCGGUUCUUUAAGUCUGAUGUGAAAGCCCACGGCUCAACCGUGGAGGGUCAUUGGAAACUGGAGAACUUGAGUACAGAAGAGGAAAGCGGAAUUCCACGUGUAGCGGUGAAAUGCGUAGAGAUGUGGAGGAACACCAGUGGCGAAGGCGGCUUUCUGGUCUGUAACUGACGCUGAGGCGCGAAAGCGUGGGGAGCAAACAGGGAUUAGAUACCCUGGUAGUCCACGCCGUAAACGAUGAGUGCUAAGUGUUAGGGGGUUUCCCGCCCCUUAGUGCUGCAGCUAACGCAUUAAGCACUCCGCCUGGGGGAGUACGGCCGCAAGGCUG